rnacentral:rRNA from 1 species
CGUGGACGUUUGAGAUUUGAGAGGGGCUGCUCCUAGUACGAGAGGACCGGAGUGGACGAACCUCUGGUGUUCCGGUUGUCACGCCAGUGGCAUUGCCGGGUAGCUAUGUUCGGAAGAGAUAACCGCUGAAAGCAUCUAAGCGGGAAACUUGCCUCAAGAUGAGAUCUCACUGGGAUCUUGAAUCCCCUAAAGGCCGUCGAAGACUACGACGUUGAUAGGUUGGGUGUGUAAGCGCUGUGAGGCGUUGAGCUAACCAAUACUAAUUGCCCGUGAGGCUUGACCAUAUAACACCCAAGCAAUU